UCCCUGGUGGCUUAGAUGGUAAAGCAUCUGUCUACAAUGCAGGAGACCUAGGGUUGAUCCCUGGGUUGGGAA
rnacentral:tRNA from 1 species